GCAGGUUCAGUGUAGCCUGGCUAACCGCAGAGGGGUAUCCUAGGGAGCAAGCAACAUCUACUUCUAAAGCUAAACAGCUUGUUAGCGUCACAUUCCAGCUCAGUCUUCAUCCGUACUAUGACGGUGGAUAUUGCUCGUCCAGCUGUCGAACUCUAGCAGGCCCAUCCCUCCCCCUGUGUCAUCGAUGGCCAGCCAGCAUACACGCCUGCCCUGACCUCGAGCCUGCCUGCCACUCUGUCCUCCUGGACUCUGACCUGGU